GUCUCUGUGGCGCAAUGGUCAGCGCGUUCGGCUGUUAACCGAAAGGUUGGUGGUUCAAGCCCACCCAGGAACG
rnacentral:tRNA from 1 species